rnacentral:rRNA from 1 species
AGAGUUUGAUCCUGGCUCAGGACGAACGCUGGCGGCGUGCUUAACACAUGCAAGUCGAACGAAGAGCGAUGGGAGCUUGCUCCUAUCAAUCUUAGUGGCGAACGGGUGAGUAACGCGUAAUCAACCUGCCCUUCAAUGGGGGACAACAGUUGGAAACGACUGCUAAUACCGCAUACGAUCGUAAUUCGGCAUCGAGAUACGAUGAAAGGUGGCCUCUAUUUAUAAGCUAUCGUUGAAGGAGGGGAUUGCGUCUGAUUAGCUAGUUGGAGGGGUAACGGCCCACCAAGGCAAUGAUCAGUAGCCGGUCUGAGAGGAUGAACGGCCACAUUGGGACUGAGACACGGCCCAAACUCCUACGGGAGGCAGCAGUGGGGAAUCUUCCGCAAUGGACGAAAGUCUGACGGAGCAACGCCGCGUGAGUGAUGAAGGUCUUCGGAUUGUAAAGCUCUGUUAAUCGGGACGAAAGAGCCUAGUGUGAAUAAUGCUAGGAAGUGACGGUACCGGAAUAGAAAGCCACGGCUAACUACGUGCCAGCAGCCGCGGUAAUACGUAGGUGGCAAGCGUUGUCCGGAAUUAUUGGGCGUAAAGCGCGCGCAGGCGGAUCUGCCAGUCUGUCUUAAAAGUUCGGGGCUUAACCCCGUGAUGGGAUGGAAACUACAGGUCUAGAGUAUCGGAGAGGAAAGUGGAAUUCCUAGUGUAGCGGUGAAUGCGUAGAUAUUAGGAAGAACACCAGUGGCGAAGGCGACUUUCUGGACGAAAACUGACGCUGAGGCGCGAAAGCCAGGGGAGCGAACGGGAUUAGAUACCCCGGUAGU